AUUGAACGCUGGCGGCAUGCUUUACACAUGCAAGUCGAACGGUAACAGGGAGCUUGCUCCGCUGACGAGUGGCGAACGGGUGAGUAAUGCAUCGGAACGUACCGUGUAAUGGGGGAUAACGUAGCGAAAGUUACGCUAAUACCGCAUACGCCCUGAGGGGGAAAGCGGGGGAUCGUAAGACCUCGCGUUAUACGAGCGGCCGAUGUCGGAUUAGCUAGUUGGUGGGGUAAAGGCCUACCAAGGCGACGAUCCGUAGCGGGUCUGAGAGGAUGAUCCGCCACACUGGGACUGAGACACGGCCCAGACUCCUACGGGAGGCAGCAGUGGGGAAUUUUGGACAAUGGGCGCAAGCCUGAUCCAGCCAUGCCGCGUGAGUGAAGAAGGCCUCGGUUG
rnacentral:rRNA from 1 species